rnacentral:rRNA from 1 species
GACAACGCUGGCGGCGUGCCUAACACAUGCAAGUCGAGCGAGGUUGCGGAUGGUGCUUGCACCCUGAAGCUACCUAGCGGGCGGACGGGUGAGUAACGCGUGAGUAACCUGCCUUAUACAGGGGGAUAACAACGAGAAAUCGUUGCUAAUACCGCAUAAGACCACGGUAUCGCAUGGUACAGGGGUAAAAGGAGCAAUCCGGUAUAAGAUGGACUCGCGUCCCAUUAGCUAGUUGGUGAGAUAACAGCCCACCAAGGCAACGAUGGGUAGCCGACCUGAGAGGGUGAUCGGCCACACUGGGACUGAGACACGGCCCAGACUCCUACGGGAGGCAGCAGUGGGGAAUAUUGGGCAAUGGGCGAAAGCCUGACCCAGCAACGCCGCGUGAAGGAAGAAGGUCUUCGGAUUGUAAACUUCUGUCGUCAGGGACGAAAAAGGACGGUACCUGGCAAGAAAGCCCCGGCUAACUACGUG